UUACCUGAUUCUUCGGAUGAAGGUCUGGUGACUGAGUGGCGGACGGGUGAGUAACGCGUGGGUAACCUGCCCUGUACAGGGGGAUAACAGUUGGAAACGGCUGCUAAUACCGCAUAAGCGCACAGUACCGCAUGGUACCGUGUGAAAAACUCCGGUGGUAUGAGAUGGACCCGCGUCUGAUUAGCUAGUUGGUGGGGUAACGGCCUACCAAGGCGACGAUCAGUAGCCGACCUGAGAGGGUGACCGGCCACAUUGGGACUGAGACACGGCCCAGACUCC
rnacentral:rRNA from 1 species